UACAGAGGGGGCAAGCGUUGUUCGGAAUUACUGGGCGUAAAGGGCGCGUAGGCGGCUCGACAAGUCCGGCGUGAAAGCCCCCGGCUCAACUGGGGAACUGCGCGGGAAACUGUCGGACUUGAGUUCGGGAGAGGGAAGCGGAAUUCCGGGUGUAGCGGUGAAAUGCGUAGAUAUCCGGAGGAACACCGGUGGCGAAGGCGGCUUCCUGGACCGACACUGACGCUGAGGCGCGAAAGCUAGGGGAGCAAACGGG
rnacentral:rRNA from 1 species